UUAAAUUGAAGAGUUUGAUCAUGGCUCAGAUUGAACGCUGGCGGCAGGCCUAACACAUGCAAGUCGAACGGUAACAGGAAUCAGCUUGCUGAUUUGCUGACGAGUGGCGGACGGGUGAGUAAUGUCUGGGAAACUGCCUGAUGGAGGGGGAUAACUACUGGAAACGGUAGCUAAUACCGCAUAAUGUCGCAAGACCAAAGAGGGGGACCUUCGGGCCUCUUGCCAUCGGAUGUGCCCAGAUGGGAUUAGCUAGUAGGUGGGGUAACGGCUCACCUAGGCGACGAUCC
rnacentral:rRNA from 1 species